UACGAAGGGUGCAAGCGUUAAUCGGAAUUACUGGGCGUAAAGCGUGCGUAGGCGGUUUGUCGCGUCGGGAGUGAAAUCCACUGGCUUAACUGGUGGCUUGCUUUCGAUACGGGCAGACUGGAGGUAUGCAGGGGAGAACGGAAUUCCUGGUGUAGCGGUGAAAUGCGCAGAUAUCAGGAGGAACACCGGUGGCGAAGGCGGUUCCCUGGGCAUGUCCUGACGCUGAGGAGCGAAAGUGUGGGGAGCGAACAGG
rnacentral:rRNA from 1 species